AUCCUAGGACACCCAUUGCCUAAACCACCACGACUCCCUUUGCCACCGUUAUUGCGGAAAACAAUGAAACACACGAUCCAUCAGAAAGCCACUCAAGCAAGAAGCCUAAGCUUCACUGCCCUUCCCCCCCGCUUCCAUCAUAACAUCCAAAACCCACUAUGCAGCCGAACCAAAUCGACCCCCACCUUGCAACCCAGCCGAUCACCCACUGUCGACCCAACCAACUUCCAGUUUCACAACCGCGAUACACCACCACGUCUAUUCCCAAAAAAGAACACUGCAAGCCAAAAAAUAAAAAAUAAAAGAAAAAAAUUCCACCCGAAAACACACACACACACCCACGCGCUCACACGCAUUCCUCUUAGAAGAAGCAGCAGCAACACAACAACAGCAAGAAAAACCUAAAAUUGCAAAAAGGUUGAAGAGAGAGAAAAGAGGGUUUUGUGGGAAAUUCAGUUUAAGCUAGUCUCAGCGGGUUUCGAGGUUAGUUCUUUGGACAGCAGGAGGACCAUGGAUAGUGGAAGAACAUAGUGGAAGCUUGGGCCAUUUGGGCGGUGGAAGGAGGAGAUUUUUUAAGUUGAACCCGUGAGCUAUUGAAGCGGAUCUAGGCCUUUUGGGUGGUUUUUAAGGAAAAACUACUAGGAUAUUUAGAAGGAAGGGGUCAAAAGGAAGGAGUCGGUGCAAUUUGGAGUCAAACCGACGGCGGCGACCAGCGGCCUCCACCGCCAGAUGAGAAAAAUGACUUAAAAAUUUGCGAGUUUUAAAAAAUUGGUGAUCAUUACUAGAAAUGAACUCACCUCAUAAAUCAUCUUUAGUCAAUCAUUUUCACAUUUUAAAUCUUACAUGGACCUAAUUCUUCGAUGGGGCAUAAUAUGAGCUCUAUGAACUUUAUUUCCAUUGCAGUUCAACAUGAUAUCGAAAAUA
rnacentral:lncRNA from 1 species